CUGCUAUUAACUCUUUGUGUUCCAUAGGAGAGUGUGAGCAAUGCAGACCAUGCCUCCCUCCCAGGGUUAACUCUUUAUGUGUAAUGGGUGGUGGGUGUGAACAAUGCAUGACUUCCCUCCCUGCAGGGGUAACCCUUUGUAUGCCUUGGGUGUGCAAUGCAUGGCACCCUUUCUUGUAAGGGUUAACCUUUUGUGUGCCAUGUGUACAUGUCAGCAAUACAUGGCAUUCCUCCCUGCUAGUGUUAACCCCUUGUAUGCCAUAGAAGGGUAGGAGCAAUACAUGGCAU